AGACAAUGAUGAGUAUUAUCAAUUAUCAGUUCUGCUUAUGAAGGCUUCUGAUUAUACCCAAAUACCAAAUCCUCUGAUGG
rfam:Anopheles minimus strain MINIMTS1 unplaced genomic scaffold supercont1.5, whole genome shotgun sequence.